CUGACUAAUAUCAUGCCGCUGCGAAAUCAAACGCACGCUUCAGAUUUUUGCUGUCAGCUGUUUGCAGACUUCAAAGAAGGUGCAGCAGGCUGUAAAUUCAUCGUCGUCAUCGUUAUCGCAGCUGUGUCGAAGUGAUUAA
rnacentral:lncRNA from 1 species